AACUGAAGAGUUUGAUCCUGGCUCAGAUUGAACGCUGGCGGCAUGCCUUACACAUGCAAGUCGAACGGCAGCACG
rnacentral:rRNA from 1 species